rnacentral:rRNA from 1 species
AACGAACGCUGGCGGCAGGCUUAACACAUGCAAGUCGAACGCCCCGCAAGGGGAGUGGCAGACGGGUGAGUAACGCGUGGGAAUCUACCUAGCUCUUCGGAAUAGCUCCGGGAAACUGGAAUUAAUACCGAGUACGCCCUACGGGGGAAAGAUUUAUCGGAGUUAGAUGAGCCCGCGUUGGAUUAGCUAGUUGGUGGGGU